rnacentral:rRNA from 1 species
UCUGACGUUAGCGGCGGACGGGUGAGUAACACGUGGAUAACCCACCUAUAAGACUGGGAUAACUUCGGGAAACCGGAGCUAAUACCGGAUAAUAUAUUGAACCGCAUGGUUCAAUAGUGAAAGACGGUUUUGCUGUCACUUAUAGAUGGAUCCGCGCCGCAUUAGCUAGUUGGUAAGGUAACGGCUUACCAAGGCAACGAUGCGUAGCCGACCUGAGAGGGUGAUCGGCCACACUGGAACUGAGACACGGUCCAGACUCCUACGGGAGGCAGCAGUAGGGAAUCUUCCGCAAUGGGCGAAAGCCUGACGGAGCAACGCCGCGUGAGUGAUGAAGGUCUUCGGAUCGUAAAACUCUGUUAUUAGGGAAGAACAAAUGUGUAAGUAACUAUGCACGUCUUGACGGUACCUAAUCAGAAAGCCACGGCUAACUACGUGCCAGCAGCCGCGGUAAUACGUAGGUGGCAAGCGUUAUCCGGAAUUAUUGGGCGUAAAGCGCGCGUAGGCGGUUUUUUAAGUCUGAUGUGAAAGCCCACGGCUCAACCGUGGAGGGUCAUUGGAAACUGGAAAACUUGAGUGCAGAAGAGGAAAGUGGAAUUCCAUGUGUAGCGGUGAAAUGCGCAGAGAUAUGGAGGAACACCAGUGGCGAAGGCGACUUUCUGGUCUGUAACUGACGCUGAUGUGCGAAAGCGUGGGGAUCAAACAGGAUUAGAUACCCUGGUAGUCCACGCCGUAAACGAUGAGUGCUAAGUGUUAGGGGGUUUCCGCCCCUUAGUGCUGCAGCUAACGCAUUAAGCACUCCGCCUGGGGA